rnacentral:rRNA from 1 species
UGUAAGCGUAUACCAAAGUUGUUGCAGUUAAAACGCUCGUAGUCGGAAUUUGGCAGUUCCGGAAGUGUGCACGUCGUGUGCGCACUUUGCGGGGACUGCUUUUGUGGUCUUGCGUAGGAUGAGGCACUUUCAUUAGUGAACGUCCUCACGCAACCACUCUUUACUGUGAGAAAAUCAGAGUGCUAAAAGCAGGCAUUUGCCGUGAAUGUAUUAGCAUGGAAUAAUAGAAUAGGACUCGGUUCUAUUUUGUUGGUUUGUUGGGACUGAGUAAUGAUUAAGAGGGACAGUUGGGGGCAUUUGUAUUCCGGCGCUAGAGGUGAAAUUCUUAGAUUGCCGGAAGACAAACUGCUGCGAAAGCGUCUGCCAAGGAUGUUUUCAUUGA